rnacentral:rRNA from 1 species
GUUGAACGCUGGCGGCGUGCCUAAUACAUGCAAGUCGAGCGAACGGACGAGAAGCUUGCUUCUCUGAUGUUAGCGGCGGACGGGUGAGUAACACGUGGAUAACCUACCUAUAAGACUGGGAUAACUUCGGGAAACCGUAGCUAAUACCGGAUAAUAUUUUGAACCGCAUUGUUCAAAAGUGAAAGACGGUCUUGCUGUCACUUAUAGAUGGAUCCGCGCUGCAUUAGCUAGUUGGUAAGGUAACGGCUUACCAAGGCAACGAUGCAUAGCCGACCUGAGAGGGUGAUCGGCCACACUGGAACUGAGACACGGUCCAGACUCCUACGGGAGGCAGCAGUAGGGAAUCUUCCGCAAUGGGCGAAAGCCUGACGGAGCAACGCCGCGUGAGUGAUGAAGGUCUUCGGAUCGUAAAACUCUGUUAUUAGGGAAGAACAUAUGUGUAAGUAACUGUGCACAUCUUGACGGUACCUAAUCAGAAAGCCACGGCUAACUACGUG